CCACCUUUAAUAAUUGUGCUAAAAUGGCUAGUUUUCUUUUCUUUCUCUUGUCUCUGUUUGCCUGUGUCAAAAGUGACUGAGUGACUAAGGCAGAAACUCAAUAUAGGUAAACUACUAAACUUCAAUUCUGACUCCUGAACUUUAGGGUAGGCUAUAGCCUACCCUAGCCUUAUGCUAGCUACGCCCUUG